AAGUCGUAACAAGGUUUCCGUAGGUGAACCUGCGGAAGGAUCAUUAAUGAAAUGAUAAUUUUUUGGGGUUUUCCCUGAAAAAUAAUUCACCAUUUGUGCAUUGUUAUUAGAUAUACUUUGGUUAGAGCUUUGAUUUCGUAUAUUGGAAUCAACUUCUUGCUAACUCUAUCCUUUCUGAGGACAGUUGGCUAUGAAGCGGCCUACCAAGGUUUUUUAUCAAACUCUUGUAUUUUAUCUGACCUAAACUGUUAUAAUUAAAUCAUAACUUUCAACAACGGAUCUCUUGGCUCUC
rnacentral:misc_RNA from 1 species